UCCCUGGUAGCUCAGACGGUAAAGCGUCUGCCUACAAUGCAGGAGACCCAGGUUCAAUCCCUGGGUUGAGAA
rnacentral:tRNA from 1 species